GGCCCAAAUCUGAAGCAAGGUAGAUUAAUAAGGUUAGCUGGUUAUACUAUUCUACUGUACUUCUAAAUUGGGCCC
rnacentral:pre_miRNA from 1 species